rnacentral:rRNA from 1 species
GAUGAACGCUGGCGGCGUGCCUAAUACAUGCAAGUCGAGCGAACAGACGAGAGUGCUUGCACUCUCUGGCGUUAGCGGCGGACGGGUGAGUAACACGUGGGUAACCUACCUAUAAGACUGGGAUAACUUCGGGAAACCGGAGCUAAUACCGGAUAAUAUUUAGCUUCGCAUGAAGCAAUAGUGAAAGACGGUUCUGCUGUCACUUAUAGAUGGACCCGCGGUGUAUUAGCUAGUUGGUGAGGUAACGGCUCACCAAGGCAACGAUACAUAGCCGACCUGAGAGGGUGAUCGGCCACACUGGGACUGAGACACGGCCCAGACUCCUACGGGAGGCAGCAGUAGGGAAUCUUCCGCAAUGGACGAAAGUCUGACGGAGCAAUGCCGCGUGAGUGAAGAAGGUUUUCGGAUCGUAAAACUCUGUUGUAAGGGAAGAACAAGUACGUUAGUAACUGAACGUACCUUGACGGUACCUUACCAGAAAGCCACGGCUAACUACGUG